UACGAAGGGGGCUAGCGUUGCUCGGAAUCACUGGGCGUAAAGCGCACGUAGGCGGCUUUCUAAGUCAGAGGUGAAAUCCCGGAGCUCAACUCCGGAACUGCCUUUGAUACUGGAAAGCUUGAGUUCGGGAGAGGUGAGUGGAACUGCGAGUGUAGAGGUGAAAUUCGUAGAUAUUCGCAAGAACACCAGUGGCGAAGGCGGCUCACUGGCCCGAUACUGACGCUGAGGUGCGAAAGGCGUGGGGAGCGAUCCGG
rnacentral:rRNA from 1 species